UUUAUUGGCAGACUGGUGCAAACGCAAAGGACGACCUACCACUUUCUUUUAUAAUUAAACUUCUUGUAAGUAGCUACUACAUAUGUAAUUCAAAAAUACAAAUUAAUUUAACGAGUUUCUUCGAGCAAUUCUUUCACAGGCUGCGCGGAGCAACACUAAAGGAUUUUAACGUUUAAUUCCCCUAUAGCGCUGUUGGUUUGGCAACGACUGCGGCAAUAAGAAGUGCUUUUCGUCAAAAAUUUAACUCCGACGAAGAAGUUUUUAUUUCUGUUUCAAAGAAGCACUUCCAAUAUACACACGACCG